UGGCUCCUUGGUCAAGCGGUUAAGACACCGCCCUUUCACGGCGGUAACAGGGGUUCGAUUCCCCUAGGAGUCAUAAU
rnacentral:tRNA from 1 species